rnacentral:rRNA from 1 species
CCUACGGGUGGCAGCAGUGGGGAAUAUUGGGCAAUGGGCGCAAGCCUGACCCAGCAACGCCGCGUGAAGGAAGAAGGCUUUCGGGUUGUAAACUUCUUUUAUCAGGGACGAAACAAAUGACGGUACCUGAUGAAUAAGCCACGGCUAACUACGUGCCAGCAGCCGCGGUAAUACGUAGGUGGCAAGCGUUAUCCGGAUUUACUGGGUGUAAAGGGCGUGUAGGCGGGACUGCAAGUCAGAUGUGAAACCCAUGGGCUCAACCUGUGGCCUGCAUUUGAAACUGUAGUUCUUGAGUGCUGGAGAGGCAGACGGAAUUCCGAGUGUAGCGGUGAAAUGCGUAGAUAUAAGGAGGAACACCAGUGGCGAAGGCGGCCUGCUGGACAGUAACUGACGCUGAGGCGCGAAAGCGUGGGGAGCAAACAGGAUUAGAUACCCUUGUAGUC